rnacentral:rRNA from 1 species
GACGAACGCUGGCGGCGUGCCUAAUACAUGCAAGUUGAGCGAUGAAGAUUGGUGCUUGCACCAAUUUGAAGAGCAGCGAACGGGUGAGUAACGCGUGGGGAAUCUGCCUUUGAGCGGGGGACAACAUUUGGAAACGAAUGCUAAUACCGCAUAACAACUUUAAACAUAAGUUUUAAGUUUGAAAGAUGCAAUUGCAUCACUCAAAGAUGAUCCCGCGUUGUAUUAGCUAGUUGGUGAGGUAAAGGCUCACCAAGGCGAUGAUACAUAGCCGACCUGAGAGGGGGAUCGGCCACAUUGGGACUGAGACACGGCCCAAACGCCUACGGGAGGCAGCAGUAGGGAAUCUUCGGCAAUGGACGAAAGUCUGACCGAGCAACGCCGCGUGAGUGAAGAAGGUUUUCGGAUCGUAAAACUCUGUUGGUAGAGAAGAACGUUGGUGAGAGUGGAAAGCUCAUCAAGUGACGGUAACUACCCAGAAAGGGACGGCUAACUACGU